GUCGGAUGAUUAUGGGUUGGGUCGGGUUUUGGAUAAUGGAGAAUCACAGUUCACAAAACGCGAUUUAAAAAUCUACAAUCACAUUUUCGAAAUUGGAUUAGAAAGGGGGAUUUGAGCAGAACAAAAAAGAAUGGAAGAGUUGUAAAGAGAUUUUAUAUCUGUGGGUGGUUUGGUCAUCAGUUGGGUAGUAUAGGUGGGAAUAGAUAGGGUUGUGGUGUUUAAAGGGGGUUUUAUGCAGUCAUC
rnacentral:lncRNA from 1 species